AAAUAGAUACCCCGGUAGUCCACGCCGUAAACGAUGAGUGCUAAGUGUUAGAGGGUUUCCGCCCUUUAGUGCUGCAGCUAACGCAUUAAGCACUCCGCCUGGGGAGUACGGCCGCAAGGCUGAAACUCAAAGGAAUUGACGGGGGCCCGCACAAGCGGUGGAGCAUGUGGUUUAAUUCGAAGCAACGCGAAGAACCUUACCAGGUCUUGACAUCCUCUGCCAACCCUAGAGAUAGGGCGUUCCCCUUCGGGGGACAGAGUGACAGGUGGUGCAUGGUUGUCGUCAGCUCGUGUCGUGAGAUGUUGGGUUAAGUCCCGCAACGAGCGCAACCCUUGAUCUUAGUUGCCGGCAUUCAGUUGGGCACUCUAAGGUGACUGCCGGUGACAAACCGGAGGAAGGUGGGGAUGACGGUCAAAUCAUCAUGCCCCUUAUGACCUGGGCUACACACGUGCUACAAUGGAUGGUACAAAGAGCUGCGAACCCGCGAGGGUAAGCCAAUCUCAUAAAGCCAUUCUCAGUUCGGA
rnacentral:rRNA from 1 species